GGAGUCCACUUGUGCCAGUUACAAGGUCCCUGUUCCACAUUCUCCAACCUCAUGUUGGUUGCUUGAAAUAGGCUGUGGUGGCAGUAUUUACACCACGGAAAUUCACAAAUGCCACAAAGCAGGGCUUUGUGCCUCCCAUGCUCCACACCCUGGAGAUCUGAUUUUAAUACAUCACUACACCACUGCUUCUCAGUUACUGGAGGAAUGAGACUAAGUCUCCCUCUCUCUCUCUCUAUCCCUCUGCCUCUUCCCUCUCCCCCUCUCUCUCUCCUCCUCUCGCUCCUUCUCUCUCUCCCUCUGUCUCUUUGUCUCUGUUUUUUGUGGGUGUUUUUGCUGAGGAAGAUUCGCCCUGAGCUAACAUCUAUUGCCAAUCUUCCUCUAUUUUAUAUGUGGGUCUCCACCACAGCAUGGCCACUGACACAUGAGUGCUGUGGGUCUGCACCCAGGAACUGAACCUGGGCCACUGAAGUGGAGUGUGUGGACCUUAACCACUAGGCAACCGGGGCUGGCCCACCUCUCUCUGUUUUUAAAGGGCGCUACCUUAAACAUACAAACGAAAGUCACGAAGUCUUUAAUCCUUCUCCUUCCAGCCAGAGGUUCUGGGAGGACAGCAUGUGGCAGUCACCUGGAGGGCUCGUUAAACCAUAGACUGCUGGGUCCCUCCUCCAGGGUUUCUGACUCAGUAGGUCUGUGGAACCCAAGACUUUCCAUUUCUCUUAAGUGCCCCAGGUGAUGUUGGUGCUGCCAGUGUGGCGACCACAGUUUGAGGCCCACUGUUCCAUGCUGUCCCUGAGAAUGACCUCGAUGACUGGCAUGACUUUGUCUUCAGGGAGAAACUCAGUGGAAUUUCAAGAGAGAAGAUGCCAACCUGAGGCAGGAGUGAGAGACAGAAAUCUUACAGACUGUGAGAGAGCGUUUACGUUGCACACCACUCAGCAUUUCACUCCUUAGAUUCCCCAUUAGUCAUCUGUCCCCAAGUUUCUCUGCUUGGCUUCCAGCUCGGGAGCCUCACUCUGUCUUCAUUCACUCUCCCCACCUGCAGCUGAGUGGACACCACGGAUGCCUGUCUCAGCUUCCUGAAGCCUGUCACUCCUGUGAUUAAGUUACAUUGUAAAGAAUCUGUCUUAGUGGACCGGAGGAGAGAUUCUCCUGCUGGCCUUGCAGAAGCAAGCUCCGUGUUGUCUGAGGGCCAUGUAGCAGAGAACUGUGGUCAACCUCUAAGAGCUGAGAGUGGCCCUUGGUUGACAGCCAGCAAGAAAGCGGAGACCUCAGUCCCACAAAUGCGAGAAACUGAAUUCUGCCAAUAACCCCAUGAGCUUAGAAGAGAAAGCUCCAAUUUCCAGAAAGGAACGCAGUCUAGCCCACACCUAAAUUGUGGGCUUCUGAGACCCUGAGCAGAGGACCCAGGUACUGGAGAUUAGGACUUGAACAUCUUUUUGGAGGACACAAUUCAACCCAAUACCAGCCUACAGUUUAAAGGCAAAGCCUGCUUCUAAUGGCCAACUUGAAGACCCCAGUGAGUUCUCAUUUGUUGCUGGUGAGAAUGUAAAAUGGUACAGCCCCUUUGGAACACAGUCUGGCAGUUCCUUAAAAAGGGUGUUCUUCAACAGCACGUUAAAUAGACCAAAUCCUGUUUUGCGUACCGAUGUGGAACCAUAUCCAAGAUGAAGUGAUAAGUGAAAAGAAGAAAACAGGCCUCAGGACACACAUGCGUGUGUGUGCAUAGAAGUUUCUCCAGACAGUAACACAGGAAAUUGAGACUUUGUCCUCGAAUUCCAUGAGUGGGAGCACCCAAUCAGAACUGCCUGUAUCUGGAUGAUGUCUGUCAUUUAUCUACCUCCCAGACUUGUUGGGAUCAUCAGUUUUACCUCCUAAAUUCCAUCCCUAAGAAAAUAUAGAUUAGUUUGGUUUGCUCUUGAACUUGAUAUAAAUGGAAUUACCUAUGGUUUUGGCAUUGUGACCUGCAGCUGCUAUCCACGUCCUUGUCCAUGUCUCCUGGUGAAUAUGUGCUCCCUGGGGCUGACGUUCUAGCCCUGGGAGCUGACCUUACUUUGUGCUAAUGAGAUUUCUACCCAUCUGUGACCAUAAAGGGAAAGCUGAUAAAGACCCUGGAGUUUGGGAAUCUGAAGCGGUGGAUCUUAUUGUCAUGGAUUGGUUCCUAUUCAUGACAAAUUCAUAUUGCAAAGGACCGAAAACCCAGCAGUUUUCUUAAACGUCAGAAUAAACCUGCUGUUAUUUUAAAAGCAUUAAAAAUUCUUUUAAACGGCAAAAAUCACUCUUAAAAGUCUUUUUAUUUCAAAUUAAUAGCUUCUAAAUGUGAAGGUCUCUGCUUUGUGACUAACAAAAACGUUUGCCAAUAUUCCAAAUUAGAUUAUUUUGUUUUUAGCAAGAAUCAGACUUUUUUUUUGAGCCAGAGGAGACUUUA
rnacentral:lncRNA from 1 species